CUGCUCGCUUUGGCAGCACAUAUGCUAAAAUUGGAACGAUACAGAGAAGAUUAGCAUGGCCCCUGUGCAAGGAUGACUCACAAAUUUGUGAAGCGUUCUAUAUUUUU
rnacentral:snRNA from 1 species